AAACCUACCUUUUGGAGAGGGAUAACAUUGGGAAACUGAUGCUAAUACCUCGUAUUGCUGAGGAGUGAAAAGCGGGUAUCUCGAGAGAGAGCCACGCGCCAGAAGAGGGGCUUGCGGCUGAUUAGCUAGUUGGUGGGGGUAAUGGCCUCCCAAGGCCACGAUCAGUAGCUGGUUUGAGAGGAUGACCAGCCACACUGGGACUGAGACACGGCCCAG
rnacentral:rRNA from 1 species